CAGCCGCCGCGGUAAUACGAAGGGGGCUAGCGUUGCUCGGAAUGACUGGGCGUAAAGGGCGCGUAGGCGGUUUGCACAGUCGGGUGUGAAAUUCCUGGGCUUAACCUGGGGGCUGCAUUCGAGACGUGUAGGCUUGAGUGGGGAAGAGGGUCGUGGAAUUCCCAGUGUAGAGGUGAAAUUCGUAGAUAUUGGGGAGAACACCGGUGGCGAAGGCGGCGACCUGGACCCUUUCUGACGCUGAGACGCGAAAGCCAGGGGAGCGAACGGGAUUAGAUACCCCGGUAGUCCCUGUCUCUUAUAC
rnacentral:rRNA from 1 species